UGAAUCCUUUGGAUUCACUGUAUCUGUGAAUGGGUACCAGUGAUUUCCUUGUCUCUGGUCAUUAAGCCUCAAUGUGUUUUUUUUCACUAAUAGGCUGAUUUACAUUUGCUUAUAAUAUGUUGUAUUUAUGUUAAGACAUUUUGAUUUUUGAAAAAACUUUUAAAAGUUGCAAAGAAACUCCCUUCAUUUAUUUUGCCUGAUAAUGUUAGACAGUGGGCAGAAGUUUCUUUGCAACGUUUGACUUACUAAUGCCCCUCAAAAGCACCUGUCUCACAUAGAUGUGUAAAUUACUUUUCUGUGAUGAAAAACGUU